GACGAACGCUGGCGGCGUGCUUAACACAUGCAAGUCGAGCGAAUGGAUUAAGAGCUUGCUCUUAUGAAGUUAGCGGCGGACGGGUGAGUAACACGUGGGUAACCUGCCCAUAAGACUGGGAUAACUCCGGGAAACCGGGGCUAAUACCGGAUAACAUUUUGAACCGCAUGGUUCGAAAUUGAAAGGCGGCUUCGGCUGUCACUUAUGGAUGGACCCGCGUCGCAUUAGCUGGUUGGUGAGGUAACGGCUCACCAAGGCAACGAUGCGUAGCCGACCUGCGAGGGUGAUCGGCCACACUGGGACUGAGACACGGCCCAGACUCCUACGGGAGGCAGCAGUAGGGAAUCUUCCGCAAUGGACGAAAGUCUGACGGAGCAACGCCGCGUGAGUGAUGAAGGCUUUCGGGUCGUAAAACUCUGUUGUUAGGGAAGAACAAGUGCUAGUUGAAUAAGCUGGCACCUUGACGGUACCUAACCAGAAAGCCACGGCUAACUACGUGCCAGCAGCCGCAGUAA
rnacentral:rRNA from 1 species